rnacentral:rRNA from 1 species
GGGUGGGGGCGUGAUUUUCGGGACACAUUCUAUUUUCGGGACACAUACCGCCCCACUGUCGUGUUCAUCUCAGAGACGCGGCAGUGCGAAGAGAGCAUGAAAAGAAUAAGAGAAAGAAUAGGCCUCAAACAUUGUAUCACCCAUGAUGGGUUGGGCAAAGGUGCCGGCAUCGCCCUGUUUUGGGACGACAGUAUUGAAAUAAAUUUGCUCUCUUAUGGACCGCGAUACAUUGAUGUUCAUGUGCGUAAUGAUCCAAAUGGCCCUGUGUGAAGAGGUACCUUCGUUUAUGGUGAGCCAAGAGCCCACCAGAGACACCAUAUGUGGAGUUUGCUGAAAAGAAUCAAAGAUAGGUCAGUAGAACCAUGGAUGGUGAUGGGGGAUUUCAAUGAAACCAUGUGGCAGGGAGAACAUUUCUCUGCUGCCAAAAGGUCUGAAAGGAACAUGAGCAACUUCAUAGAGGUGCUGGGGUGGUGUGACCUGCAUGAUCUUGGGUUCAAAGGCCCGGAGUGGACCUUUGACAACAAACAGAGUGGUAGGAAGAAGGUUAGAGCGAGACUGGACAGAGGCGUGGCAUCACCUAGCUGGUAUGAUAUAUUUCCCCAAGCUCAGAUCCAACACAUAGUCACUUCAAGGUCAGAUCACUUUCCCCUACUGCUCACUCUUGUGGAGGAA